rnacentral:lncRNA from 1 species
GCUGCAUCUAUGCCUGCUUUGAUUUCCGAGCUGGUCCUCCAUAUUUUGCUUUCUCCUCUGUUAACAGUAUUUUCAUCACGGCACCGUAUAUUUACUGAGUUUGUGAUAAUUUUCAUAGCACGUUAACACGUGUGAGUAAAUCUUGCAGGUCCAUACAGGACACUUGACGCUUCCAUGCAACAAGGUGGCCCGAUGAAGCCGCCACGUGGCCCGAUUAUGCCGCCACGUGGCCCUGUCAAGCCACCACGUGGCCCGGUCAAGCCACCACCUGGCCCGAUGAAGCCACCACGUGGCCCGGUCAAGCCACCACCUGGAAAGAAGCCACCUCCCGGGUCACAGUAAUGCUUACAAGUGGAAUUGUGAAAUCCCUUGAGAAUGGAACACUACGGAUUAGAAGCCAGUAAAGUGUCGACCGACAGCUAGUAGUAUCUUUAUU